AUGAACGCUAGCGACAGGCUUAACACAUGCAAGUCGAGGGGCAGCACAGGUAGCAAUACCGGGUGGCGACCGGCGCACGGGUGAGUAACGCGUAUGCAACUUACCUAUCAGAGGGGGAUAACCCGGCGAAAGUCGGACUAAUACCGCAUGAAGCAGGGGCCCCGCAUGGGGAUAUUUGCUAAAGGUUCAUCGCUGAUAGAUAGGCAUGCGUUCCAUUAGGCAGUUGGCGGGGUAACGGCCCACCAAACCGACGAUGGAUAGGGGUUCUGAGAGGAAGGUCCCCCACAUUGGUACUGAGACACGGACCAAACUCCUACGGGAGGCAGCAGUGAGGAAUAUUGGUCAAUGGCCGAGAGGCUGAACCAGCCAAGUCGCGUGAGGGAUGAAGGUUCUAUGGAUCGUAAACCUCUUUUAUAAGGGAAUAAAGUGCGGGACGUGUCCCGUUUUGUAUGUACCUUAUGAAUAAGGAUCGGCUAACUCCGUGCCAGCAGCCGCGGUAAUACGGAGGAUCCGAGCGUUAUCCGGAUUUAUUGGGUUUAAAGGGUGCGUAGGCGGCCUUUUAAGUCAGCGGUGAAAGUCUGUGGCUCAACCAUAGAAUUGCCGUUGAAACUGGGGGGCUUGAGUAUGUUUGAGGCAGGCGGAAUGCGUGGUGUAGCGGUGAAAUGCAUAGAUAUCACGCAGAACCCCGAUUGCGAAGGCAGCCUGCCAAGCCAUGACUGACGCUGAUGCACGAAAGCGUGGGGAUCAAACAGGAUUAGAUACCCUGGUAGUCCACGCAGUAAACGAUGAUCACUAGCUGUUUGCGAUACACUGUAAGCGGCACAGCGAAAGCGUUAAGUGAUCCACCUGGGGAGUACGCCGGCAACGGUGAAACUCAAAGGAAUUGACGGGGGCCCGCACAAGCGGAGGAACAUGUGGUUUAAUUCGAUGAUACGCGAGGAACCUUACCCGGGUUUGAACGCAUUCGGACCGAGGUGGAAACACCUUUUCUAGCAAUAGCCGUUUGCGAGGUGCUGCAUGGUUGUCGUCAGCUCGUGCCGUGAGGUGUCGGCUUAAGUGCCAUAACGAGCGCAACCCUUGCCACUAGUUACUAACAGGUAAAGCUGAGGACUCUGGUGGGACUGCCAGCGUAAGCUGCGAGGAAGGCGGGGAUGACGUCAAAUCAGCACGGCCCUUACAUCCGGGGCGACACACGUGUUACAAUGGCGUGGACAAAGGGAGGCCACCUGGUGACAGGGAGCGAAUCCCCAAACCACGUCUCAGUUCGGAUCGGAGUCUGCAACCCGACUCCGUGAAGCUGGAUUCGCUAGUAAUCGCGCAUCAGCCAUGGCGCGGUGAAUACGUUCCCGGGCCUUGUACACACCGCCCGUCAAGCCAUGGGAGCCGGGGGUACCUGAAGUCCGUAACCGAAAGGAUCGGCCUAGGGUAAAACUGGUGACUGGGGCU
rnacentral:rRNA from 1 species